GCGGCAGUGGCGGAAUUGGCAGACGCGCUAGGUUCAGGACCUAGUGGGCAUUGCGCUCGUGGAGGUUCAAGUCCUCUCUGCCGCACCA
rnacentral:tRNA from 1 species